rnacentral:rRNA from 1 species
AGCAGCCGCGGUAAUUCCAGCUCCAAUAGCGUAUAUUAAAGUUGUUGCAGUUAAAAAGCUCGUAGUUGAAUUUCGGGAUUGGCGCAUCGGUCGUGCCUCACGGGGUAUGAACUGGUGCAGUCAAUUUCUCACCUUCUGGAGAACCGCGAUGUCCUUAAUUGGGUGCCGCGGGGAACCAGGACCUUUACUUUGAAAAAUUGAGUGUUUAAAGCAGGCAUUUUUGCUUGAAUACAUUAGCAUGGAAUAAUAAAAUAGGACGGCAUGGUUCUAUUUUGUUGGUUUCUAGGACCACCGUAAUGAUUAAUAGGGAUAGUUGGGGGCAUUAGUAUUCAAUUGUCAGAGGUGAAAUUCUUGGAUUUAUUGAAGACUAACUACUGCGAAAGCAGUUGCCAAGGAUGUUUUCAUUAAUCAAGAACGAAAGUUAGGGGAUCGAAGACGAUCAGAUACCGUCGUAGUCUUAACCAUAAACUAUGCCGACUAGGAAUCAGACGAUGUUAAUUUUUAAUGUACUCGUUUGGCU